GUCCCUCCGAGGACAUUCGAUAAAAUUGUAAAGAUACAGAGAAGAUUAGCAUGGCCCCGACGCAAGGAUGACUUGCUUAGGCAAAUACAUAAAAUACAUAUGU